GACGAACGCUGGCGGCGUGCUUAACACAUGCAAGUCGAACGGUGAUCUUGGGAGCUUGCUCUUGGGUGAUCAGUGGCGAACGGGUGAGUAACACGUGAGUAACCUGCCCCUGACUCUGGAAUAACUUCGGGAAACCGAAGCUAAUACCGGAUACGACACAGAGCUGCAUGGCUACUGUGUGGAAAGUUUUUCGGUUGGGGAUGGACUCGCGGCCUAUCGGCUUGGUGGUGAGGUAAUGGCUCACCAAGGCGACGGCGGGUAGCCGGCCUGGGGGGGCGAUCGGCCACACUGGGACUGAGACACGGCCCAGACUACUACGGGAGGCAGCAGUGGGGAAUAUUGCACAAUGGGCGAAAGCCUGAUGCAGCGACGCCGCGUCAGGGAUGAAGGCCUUCGGGUUGUAAACCUCUUUCAGUAGGGAAGAAGCGCAAGUGACGGUACCUACAGAAGAAGCACCGGCUAACUACGUGCCAGCAGCCGCGGUAAUAC
rnacentral:rRNA from 1 species